CGAUCAGCGUGUGGCGGUUGGGGCGGGGGCGACGUCGUCGGCGUGGAGACGGGCCAGCAAGCCUGAGCGUGGCCAGCCUACCGACCGAGCAGCAGAGCUGUGGUAUAGAGAUAUAGAGACGUGCUUCCCAACUCAUAUCCCUCUGUCUCAAUUUUCUUUUAUCUCGGGCGGCCUAAAUCGGAUAGAUCUAGGUGAUGGAGAACCGGCCUACUUUCUUUGUGGUUUCCCCUGGGAUUGGAGUUCUCUAGCUGCAUAUAGCUUCAGUUCUCUAGGUCAGAUCUCCUCUUGGCCAAGGUAUCUUUGAUUCCAAGCCGCCCUAGGUUGCAGGCCACAUCUCCUUCUAAUUGUCUGGUUUUUUUCCUGCUCUUGAUGCUACGGCAGGCUGGCCAGUUGCAUCUCCCUAUGGUUUGUGCUUUUCACCACCACAAUCAAAGAUGUACGUAUGGUGGUGUUGUUGGUGGUCCUGGCCUUGCUGCAACUGAUGGAUGGUUUCUUCUGGUUGAUUCCUACUGAAAAAAAUUAUUACUUCUGAGAGCCAUGCCAAUUCACAUGGCAAUUAUACAGUUCAUAUCAACAUAAUUGAUAUUGUUAUCCGGAGGCGGGGAAUUUCUGUAGGCAAGCAGCCGACUAAUUGUGUUAUUAAUAUGUUCAUUUUCUUCUUUCUUUAUUGAAAGCUAAUUUCUUAUAUGCUGAGUGCACUCAAAAUCAUAAAAAGGUUAAUUUCACACAAAUGGCACUAUCCUCAUGGUUUCAUGUAGUCUAUUGUUCACGAAUCUGAAACAUGUAUAUGAGCCAAGAGCGUAUUGGCAUUUUUCUUCGUCUAAUUUAUCUGUUCGUGUUCUAGGUACUUCAAAUUUUAAUGACAGCAACAAGGAGGCCGCCUCUAGCAAACAUGCCCAGACCAUCAAUUAUGCACGUGAGACCGCCCAGCACACUGCCUCUGAAGCUCACGCCACAGUGUGUUUUUUCGCUUGUGUUUAUUCUUUGUUACUCCUCUGGUCGAGCACUUGAGAGUACAUAUGCUGACGCUCUCCAUUUGAUUUGAUUUGUGUGCGGGGAUGGCGAGCGGAAUGGCUGGGGACAUGAAGGGGCCGGCGAACGAUCCCGGGCAGACAAGGGACACGACAAAGGAGGUUCUAAAAGGGACGGCCACAAGGCUAUUGUGCUUCUUGACCAAACUUCAUCUGGCCAAAAUUCUCUUCAUAUUCUCUU